AUACGUAGGGUGCAAGCGUUAAUCGGAAUUACUGGGCGUAAAGCGUGCGCAGGCGGUUUUGUAAGACAGAGGUGAAAUCCCCGGGCUCAACCUGGGAACUGCCUUUGUGACUGCAAGGCUAGAGUACGGCAGAGGGGGAUGGAAUUCCGCGUGUAGCAGUGAAAUGCGUAGAUAUGCGGAUGAACACCGAUGGCGAAGGCAAUCCCCUGGGCCUGUACUGACGCUCAUGCACGAAAGCGUGGGGAGCGAACAGGAUUAGAUACCCUGGUAGUCCACGCCCUAAACGAUGUCAACUGGUUGUUGGGUCUUCAUUGACUCAGUAACGAAGCUAACGCGUGAAGGUGACCGCCUGGGGAGUACGGCCGCAAGGUUGAAACUCAAAUGAAUUGACGGGG
rnacentral:rRNA from 1 species